rnacentral:rRNA from 1 species
UACGUAGGGUGCGAGCGUUAAUCGGAAUUACUGGGCGUAAAGCGCACGUAGGCGGAUUUGUUAGUCAGGGGUGAAAUCCCGGGGCUCAACCUCGGAACUCCUUCUGAUACUGCAAAUCUCGAGUCCGAUAGAGGUGGGUGGAAUUCCUAGUGUAGAGGUGAAAUUCGUAGAUAUUAGGAAGAACACCGGUGGCGAAGGCGGCCCACUGGAUCGGUACUGACGCUGAGGUGCGAAAGCGUGGGGAGCAAACAGGG